UUUUUUGCUAGAAAAGUGCACUUUAAUAAUUAAAAUUAUACUGCAAAACAGAGGUUCGGAUUAAAAAUUGGUUGAUGAGUCUGAAAAGUUAACUUGAAUUCCUGGGAAACUUGCUGCGGACAGAACAGUUUCGAUCGUCCGCAUCCUGCCAUAGCUGCUUAUAGUGGCUUCCGAAGUAUCUACCUAAAGAUUACUGCGGAUGACGACAAAGAUCCUAAAAUUAUCAAGGUGUUCCGGAUUGUGCACCGGAACCAAGGUUCGUCGAUCGCCCGAAAAGUUAAUUUUAACGUGUGAAGUCGAAAUGUGAUUUGAAAAAGUGAAAUGUUGGUUUAGGAGACCUAAAAUGUAAUUUGCAUUUAAAAAAUAAAAGCUAACAAUGUAUGUACUGUA